GUUUUUAUAGUUGAAUACAACGGUGGUUUUUCAGAUCGCUAGUCUUGGUGGUUAAGACCAAGUAAGAACU
rnacentral:tRNA from 1 species